GAGCGGAGAAAAACGUGGGACUUGAGCAUGUGAAUGAAGAACAUGCGGGCAAAGGAGACAAACCUUCUCAGCGUGACCUAUCUGUAAAAUCGGCUACAUAUUUCCAGGGCAAAUGUCACAGGUGACCUUGGGAUGUACGAGAGGUGGAAUUAAAUCUGCGGGCUUAAUGGAGCUGUUGCAGGAUGGUGAUUUGCUGGCCCAGCUGUGAUGUAACCUGUCUGCUAUUGACUGACUCCUCCUGGUGGACCUCCUCUACAUCUUGGUUGGAUCAUUCAACUCCUGCUCCUCCGAACACAAAACACAAUCCUCUAAUUAAGACCAACGCCCGGUCCCAAUACUCACACUACCCUACACCCCUCUAUGAAGUGUGUACUCAGUUCAAGUGAACAUAAGGGUUUGAGUGUGCAGGUUACAUGUGUGCAAAAGUUUGAGAAUUGGGACAGUACAGGUUACGUCAUCAACUUGUGCUACUGCGUAGUGAAUGAGACAUCCAAAAUGGCAGGAAUGGUCRUUGUUUUGGCAUUUGUACUGCUAAAAACGAAUGUUGUACAACUACAACAAACACUCAUUUUUAGGAAUUGUUUUCUUGGCGAUUGGCAGACAAAUUUAAGCGUAUUACCGCCAAUAGCCUGGAAGGUGCUCAGUGGACAUUGCCAUAUUUCUGCCUUUUAAUUCAAAAUGUCACAUACAGCAAUGAAUUGUGGGAUAAUUCACUUCGCUGAAGUUAAUUUGGAUGUGAGCUUAGCAGAUGUGUGGAUCAAGGGCAGGGUGAAAGACCACUCUGGAGAAUUGGAACACAUUAUGUACCCAAACCCUUCAGCGGGAACRUGCAUUUGAAGAACACAAGGGUGGAAGUGCGAGUAUUGGGACCUGGCUCAGCUCUCUUGCCAUUUAGGGUGAAUUUGCAGCCAUUUUGCUGGGUGUUGUCUUGUGGGUGAAAUGUCUGGCUUUGGCCUUCUGACAGGUCAAGUUCAGUUUGUGUUCAAGGGUUUGGUUUUUGAGGUUUGUUGUAAAACUGAUUUUUUUAAGCUGUUGAAGGCUGUUUUACAGGAAGACUCUUCAUUAGGGUUUGGAUUUUGUGGCUAAAAUUGCCAAUUUCUUUGUUAGAAGGGGGUUAUAAUGUUUGAUUUUGACCCAGUUUACAUUUGUGAAUGUAGGUAGUGUAAUUUUGUUUUCCUCAAUACUUGUACAGCACAACUUCAGCUGCAUGAC